CCCCUCUCUUUGUCUUGAAAACAAGGGAAAUUUUGACCCACCACACUAAGCCGCAAACUGUACUUUCCUCAGUUUUUUAGGAACUGUCUGCAGUCAUUUUCUAAUGUUUCCUUUCCUCCUCUUACUGCUUGUAUCAUAAUGCAUGAAACAGACAUACACUUUACCACCAGAGGCAUCCUUCUCCUUCUCUUCAUCACGAUUCACUGGAUCCUCUCCAUUUACUUCCUUCUUUCCAGGUGUGAUAUCCUGAAUCUCAGCUGGUGGUUCCUAUCGUUGAGGUUGCUCAACACUGGGCUGCUGGUCCUAGUAGAGUGUGCAUCAUUGUGGGAACAUGGAGAAAGGCUCAAUCUUUACAGCCUGACUACGGCGAUUUUCUCAGAGUCUAUGGCUGAGGACAAGAACUAUGGCACCGUGACACCUGUGAGGAGAAAGAUGACAACCUCGUGGGCCUUCCUUUUCAAUGGCCCCAUAUUGCAAUGUCCAACCAGCCCAAAACUCACUGGCUCCCCCUCACACGUACUCACACAACUCCAGACAGGACAGAUAUGUGGACUUACCUGGUAAGUCUCAAGUAGUGAGAAAGAAUUGAGACAGAAUAAACAUGUCCAUCUGAGGCCUAACGCUCCUCA
rnacentral:lncRNA from 1 species